CGGCGGACGGCUGAGUAACACGUAGGAACGUACCCCAAACUGAGGGAUAAGCACCAGAAAUGGUGUCUAAUACCGCAUGUGAUCUUCGGAUUAAAGCUUCGGCGGUUUGGGAACGGCCUGCGCAUGAUUAGCUUGUUGGUGAGGUAAAAGCUCACCAAGGCGACGAUCAUUAGCUGGUCUGAGAGGAUGACCAGCCAGACUGGGACUGAGAACGGCCCAG
rnacentral:rRNA from 1 species